UUGAUCCCUUGCUGGCUGAUUUCCUCGCAAGACUCCCUAGCUGGCGACUUGGAAAAAAGUCGAUCACUUUUUUCGAAAAAGUCGAGGAGCUUUUGUCGUGAGUAUCUUUGAGUCACAGACGGCGCCAACUGAUGGGGGUGAAACCCGACUAGUACUCCAAGACGCGCAAGCAAGCGCCAAGCGGGGAACUCCGCGGGAAACCGGACCGGAACUCAAGUGUGCAGAGCUCUGCUUCGCUAGGAAUCCUUCUUCUCCAAAUGACUUGCCUUUAAUGAGUGGGGGGUGCCCUCUAUUUAUAGGGGUUCUUAUGGGGGCAAUAUGGUCAUUUGGGCAGUAACCGCCUAACUGCCUANNNNNNNNNNNNNNNNNNNNNNNNNNNNNNNNNNNNNNNNNNNNNNNNNNNNNNNNNNNNNNNNNNNNNNNNNNNNNNNNNNNNNNNNNNNNNNNNNNNNUCUGGGGGUCGACUUUUCCUGGUGAUCGACUUUACUCAAAAGUCGAUCCCAGGGAAGUCGAUCCUCAGGAAAGUCGAUCUUCCUAGGAUUCGACCUGGGACCUCCCCAACCCUAGAAUAGAUACCUCAACUCAUCUUAGGCUAUCCGGACUUCUAGUUGCUGGUAGGUUGUGACCGUGUUCGGGAUACUGUAUCACCAGUACUCCCCCCUCCUCUGCGUAUUAGAUACUUUGGGAUACUUCUUUUAGUACUAUGGUCUGCGUGUCGGACCCUGUACUAUCAGUUCCCCCCUCUUUGCGUGCUGGGAUGUGGAUUUCUGGUGAUGUCCCUGGAUGUAAGAUCCUCUCUCACCAGGUACAUAUAUUGAAAAUCGAAUCUUGGUCCUCAAAUAUCUUAAUAAUGACUUUGACAAACUUAGCUAAUCAAGUUGUGUAUAUCGACCUCAAUCUAUUAGUGUCAAUGCUUAAGUGAUUGAAGAAAAUCUACCAUUUGUGGUGAUUUCUCUCUUCCUACAAAUGCAUAUGUUGAAUUUGAUGAAGAAAAGGAUUAGAUCAGAUCAUAUAUGUUCUUAUGUCGAUAUGCAUUGGCUAACCAUAAUUAUUAAAAUGGAUGAAAAUCUCAUGCAAAAGUUAGUGUGAUUUUGAUGGCUUGCAAAGAAACUGAAUCAAGAAAUGCAAGCAGAUAAUAAAAAGUUUGUUUUCAAUUCGCAAUAAUUGACAUCAAAUAUUUAUUUUCAUUUAGAUGAAGAUCCAUUAUUAACCGAAUCAACAUUGAAAAUCCAACAUUAAAUUAAAAUGAAAAUUACUAUUACUAUGUUUUUUAAUUAAAUAAAUGUUUAUUUAAUUAAUUAAAUAAUUUCUGUUUUUAUUUAAUUAAUUAAAUAAAUUACUGUUUUUAAUUAAAUAAAUAAUUAAUAAUGUUUUUAAAUAAAUAAAUAAUUUACUGUUUUUAAAUAAUUUUAAAAUUAAUGAAAUUCUAUAAUUUAUUUACUGUUUUUAAUUAAAUAAUUAAUAAUGUUUUUAAAUAAAUAAAUAAUUUACUGUUUUUAAAUAUUUUUAAAAUUAAUGAAAUUUUUUAUUUUAUUUACUGUUUUUAAUUAAAUAAUUAACAAUUUUUUUAAAUAAUUAAAUAAUUUAUUGUUUUUAAAUAAUUUAAAAAUUAAUUAUUUUGUUUUAUAUUUGUAUGUUGUAGGUUCUGAAUUCGGAUUUGGAAUUCGAAUUAAUUAUUAAUUAAACCGAUCUUUCGUAAAAUUCGGAUUUGGAAGCUAUAUUGCGGUAAAAAAUUAAAUUUAUUUAUUUAAUUAACUAAUUUUUAAAUUUAUAGUAAAAUGAAAUGAUUAAAUUAUCAAUAGAAAUAAUAAUUAGUAUAUUAUUAAUUGAUUAAAAUUUAUUAAAUAAUAAUAAUUAAUAACAAUUAGUAUAUUAUUAAAUUAUUAAAUAACAAUUAAAUUAACUAAUUAUUAAAUUGAAAUAAUAAUGAUUAAUUUGCAUGAAAAUAAUUUGUAAAUUAAUAAUGUAAAUUAAUUGCCAAUUGAAAGAUUUAAUUAAGAAUUUAAUUAAUUUGCAUGAAAUUAAAAAUUGACUUAUUAAAUUGAAUAUUAAUUAAUUAUUAAUUAAUUUACAAUUAUUAAAUAUUAAUUAAUUUCCAUGAAAUAAAAUAAUUUGUUAAUAAUGAAAUAUUGAAAUAUUGAAAAAUUUAAUUUUAAAAUUAUUUAAUUAAUCUUAAUACAAUUUAAUUAAUUUGCAUGAAAUUAAUUUGUAUAAAAUUUGAAAUUUGUUAAUUAUUAAUGAUUAAUUUGUAUGAAAUUAUAGAAAUCUUAAUUAAUAAUUAUUAAAUUGAAUGAUUUUAAAUUGAAAUAAUUAUCAUUAAUUUGCCAUGAAAUUAAAUUUGAUAAUUAAUGAAAUGAUUAUUUGUUUAAAAAUGAAUGAUUAUUUAAUUAUUUGUUUAAUAAUUAAUAAUUAUUUAUUUUUAUUUUUUUAGAUUUUAAAAAUGCCACGUAGAGUGAAGCAAUUACCUCGUAAGAGGACUUUACCACCCAAUCCCCAAGAUGCUUUCCGGUUUUAUCUCCCGGUUCAUCCUGCACCAGCACAUGUACGUCCAGCACCAGAACCUGUACGUCCAGCACCGGCACCUGUUCGUCCAGCAUCGGCCCCUCCAGUUCCGCAACCAGCAACUCCGAAAAAAGUCGUUUAUGAAACGGAUUCGGAAUAGUUCAAUAAUUAGCUAGAUUUUCCAAAAAAAAUUGAACUUAAUAUUAAUUGAACGAUAAUUAAUAUUGUAAUAGUCAAUUAAGUUUUAUCUAAUUAAUUAUAAUUCGAUAAAAAUCUAAUUUUUUAGGAUAAUGUCGAACCUCAUGAAAGUACCCGAUAAAGCUUGGAUGAGUUUAGAUUGGUUUUCGAAAGAAUACGGUAAAGGGUUAACAGCUUUCACUAAUUUCGCCAUUUCGAAUUAGACUCACCUAGAAGGUUAUUUACCUUGUCCAUGCUCGUCCUGCAUGAAUAGUGAAGUGAUUCUUAUAAAGGAGAUGAAAAAGCAUGUUUUCAUAAAUGGUUGGUUGAAACAUUACGACGUUUGGACACAUCACGGAGAGUUACCGAGUAGAUAUGCUGAGAAAAAAGUGAAACGAAAAGAGACAGUGCCGGAAACUGGUAAUGAUAUGAUUGGAUUGGUUCAUGCGGUUUACGGAGAACAUGUAGUUGAGAAUACAGUCGACGAAGAAUUUCUCGAAUACGAGCCUGUCCAUGAAGAUUCAAUCGAUGUAGAUCCAGUCGACGAAGAUCAAGUCGACGAAGAUCCAGAGCACAGAUAUGACGAUUCGUUCUUACGCCGUCUAAAAGAAGGUGAAAAACAGUUAUAUCCAGGUUGCACAGAGUUUUCCAAAUUAUUUUUUAUCUUGGAAUUGUAUCAGUUGAAAUGCGACAAUCAUUGGAGUGAUAAAAGUUUUCAGAAAUUAUUAUCCAUCAUACGUAGUGCUAUUCCAAAUGGGGAGUCAACCAUUUCGAAAACCAUGUACCAUGCGAAAUCGGUGGUUCGUGACUUGGGCCUCAAUUAUACGAAAAUCGAUGCAUGUCGCAACGAUUGUAUUUUAUAUCGAAAUGAGUAUACAGACGCAGAAACUUGCCUGAAUUGCGGAACGUGUAGGUGGGUCGUCGAAGGCAUUCGGAAAAACAAACGUGUUCCAGCGAAAUGUCUUCGUCACUUUCCGUUCAUUCCGCGUUUGAAGAGAUUGUAUCUGUGUUCCAAAAUUUCUGAAGACAUGAUAUGUCACCAUUCCAAACAUAAAGACGACGGAUUUCUUCGGCAUCCAGCUGAUUCUUUACAAUGGAAGAAAUUUGACGAGGUUCAUCCCAAAUUUGCAUCCGAACCACGUAAUGUGAGACUUGGUUUAGCAACUGAUGGAUUUAACCUCGUAAAACGAAAGAUAAUUUGAACGCGAGGUUGGAUUUACAAUCGAUGAGAAUCCGAAAAGAACUUCAUCCUAUUCGACGGGGAGAAGAAUGAGACAUUCCGAGUGCGUGUCUCAACUUAACGACGAAAGAAAAGAUAUUAUUUCUGUCAGUGUUUAAAUCCCUUCGACUUCCCGAUGAAUAUUGUUCUAACAUUUCUAGAAACGUGAAAAUGAAAGAAAGAAAAUUUAUCGGAUUGAAAAGUCACAGUUAUGAAUGGAUUAAAAUUUUAGACAUCAGAAUUGACAAAUCGAAGAUCGACGUAAAAUAACGGUAUUUUUCUUUCGGCUACAACAUCAACGUUUGCUAAAUCUCCAAAUGAUGCUCCGUUGGUAGCAGAAAUUGAAUAUCAUGGAUUAUUAGAAAAUGUUUUCGAAAUUUGCUACGGUCACACGACUAAAUAUUGUCUGUUUGAAUGUAAGUGGUACGAUCCUGAAAAAGCAGGUACAAAAGUCGAUAAUUUUGGUGUCGUUUCAGUGAACACGACACGGGGAAAAUUUGGAAAGGAAUCUUUCAUUUUGGCAAAUCAGGUUCAACAAUGUUUCUACAUUCAAGAUCCGAUAGAAUCUGAAUGAAGUUCCGUCCUUAAAAUACCAAAUAGAGAUAUUUUCGAUGUUGAUAAUGAUGAUUGUUGUAAUUAAAUUAUAAAGUAUUACAUUACAAUAUAAUUUAAUAUUUUGAAUAUAAUAUCAUGUUAAUUAUAAAUAUUUCUUUUUUUCAGUAAAAAAUGAGUCAACUACUUGCAAUCGUCGAACGAUAUGAAUGACUCAUGCGACUAAACCAGAUUCAACGUAGUUUGUACAGAAACAUAGAUUAUUAUUGUCGUGUUUUUGCUUGUUUUCGUUGCGGAGUCAACGGUCAUCAUUUUCACAACUGUUCAAAAAAUGGUCGAGAAAUCCUCAAAUAAUGGAAACCGGUCAGAUUUUAGUGUUAGGAUACGAAGCUAGAGUUGUAGGCACACAUUCAUUCAAAAUCGAAUACAACUCUUCUUACGACGAUUUCGAAGAUUUGUUGUGUCUAAUAAUAAAGAAUAUAAAUUACAAUAGGAAAAAUGUUUGGUUGUUGUGUCAGACUAAGACCCCAUAUACGGGUGUCUGGAUAUGUAUUUAAAUUAACUAAUUUUAUUUUAAAAUUUAAAUAUUUCAGAUUAUGUUUACUUUUUUCGUUCUGAUCGGUGUGAUAACACCUUUCAUGGCAUUGGCGAUGGUUACAUCUCGUCGCUCUUUUGAAGAGUCAAGCUCAAGUGGUCAGUUCAUUAUUCAUAUUUUAAAUAUUAUCAUAAUUUUUAUUAAAUAUUAAUUCUUAAAUAUGUAAAUUAAUUAGAUGCGAGACCAUCCACAUCGAAUGUGCCUCUAAAGAAGAAGGGUCGUGGUCGCACAAAAGACCAUCCCCAUACCCAUCCAGAAAAAAGUACGAAAUGGAAGGUCAUGUUUGAAAACACGAACCAAGCGACGGAUGAAAUGACGAAGAAAUUAACCACAAAAAUGGCUCUUUUAGCAAAAGACUAUACUUUCUUCCCGUACAACAUUGAGUGAUGUCAUCAACCACAACAAAAUUUUCAGGACGCGUUGAAAAUAUUAACUGUAAGUAUAUAUAUUUUUUAUAAUAUUUAUUAAUUUUCCAAAACUUAUAAGUUUUGAAUAUGUAGGCUGAAUACGAUUUAAAUGGAAGGAAAGUUGUACAAACUUAUAUCAAUGGUAGGUUGAACAAACUCUAGAGGAGCAACCAUAAUUCUUUGGUUAAAACUUAUGGCUUGGAUCCUAAUAUGAGAGAAGAAGAUAAUUUAGCGACUCUUCCACCGUAUGUCAGCAAACCUCAAUUUCUGAAUAAAUUUAGACAACAUCGAUCGGAAAGAGGACAGGUACGUAUAUGUGUAUAUAUAUAUUUAUUAUAUUAAUAAAUUUAAAAACUUAUUAUUUUUUAUAAUUUCAGCAAAUUUCUGAGAUAAAUACCGCGAACCGAGCGAAUCAAAUGGCACAUCACGCUGGUUCAAAAGGAUUAGCGCAACGACGUCUUGAAUUGGUAAUUUAUUCAUAAUUUAUAUCUAAUUUAAUUAUAUAUUAAUGAAUUAUGUGAAUAUAGAUGCAACAAGGAAGGAGUGAAGUCGAAACUUGGUCAGAGACUUUACAAAUGACAUAUAAAGGAAGCGAUAAAGUUGUAAGUUUUUUUUUAAAAUUAUUUAUAUUUUAUAAUUUCUAUUAUCAUUGUUUGAUUUUGUUAUUCUUUCAACUUGAAGCCACAGAUUUUAUCAGAAGUCAAGAGGCAAAAUCGUGGGCUGAAUCUGAAGCAAUGACUCCAUUUGUAAGUUCCAUUGAUUAUUUUAAACAUAUUUCGCAUUUACUAUUUAUUUACUUUUUAUAAUGUAGCAAUUUAUCGAAGCGACGGUCAACAAGACUUUCGGAAAAAAUAAAAAGAAUAGGAUCAUAGGAAUUGGAGAACCUGCCAGUAUGGUGAGCACAACGAACGAAAGAUGGGCUUCUCCAAAUUGGAAAGAAAAAGAGCCGAUCUCCGAAAACACGACUACUGAUGCAGCACCAGAUGCAGCUUGGUCGGAAAAAUUCAAAGAAUUAGAGGUAUUUUAAAUAUAUUUCAAUAAUUUUGUAGAUAAUCUAACUCAUUUUUGUUUUCAUUUUCAGAACAAGUGUAACGAGAGUCAGAAGACGUCUCCAAAUAUAAGAAGAAGUUCAAUGCCAUGAAAUCUUAUAUCAAGAAACUCAAUAAGACUUUGAAGACUUCCGGACUCGAUAUGACGCACAUGGCUUCCAUUUCAAAGUCCACCAUACCGUCUGCAUUAGAAUCAGAUAUUUCGGAUUCUGAUUCAGAAGACUCGAUUUCAGACGAGUGUUGAUUAAACUAUUUUUAUAUUUGUUUAUUCAAACAUCGAAUGUUUAACGAUUCUGUAUUUUAGUUUAUUUUUAAUAAAAACAUCGAUUUCAAUUUCAAUUUAAAAAUCGCUUUCUCAAAUAUCGAUUUCUAAUUAAAAAAACAACGAUUCGAACGCAAAAUAUAUAAGCUUGUUUUAAAAAGAAAUUAAAACAAACAUUGUAUGGCGGAUUUCCACCAUUCAUACUCUUCUAUUAAGGUUUAGAUGGCGGAAAUCCACCAUCUAAAUAUGGGCACAAUCGCCCUCUCCCAGGAAUAGAUGGCGGAUAUCCGCCAUCUAUAAACUUAGGGAACCGCCUGAUGUACUUUCAAUGGCGGAUUUCCACCAUCUAAUGUUACAAAGAUAGUCGGCAGACAUCCGCCAUCAAUAAAAUUAACCGCCAUCAAUGAAUUGGCGUCAAACUUUUUCCGCGCCAUAUUUUAGAUGGUGGAAAUCCACCAUCUAAAAAUUUUCAGUUCCCGCGAAAAUUUUCAGAUUAGAUACAAUUUUCAGUUCCCGCGGAUUUCCGCCAUCUAUACAAUUUUUGGUGAGAAAUGGGGAUGGAUAAUAGAUGGCGGUCUUUAGAUGGCGGUUAUGGGGUUUUAAUGGCGGUGUCCAAGAUGACGGUCUUUAGAUAGCGGAUUUCCGCCGACGAUCACUUUAGAUGGCGGAUUUCCGCCAUCUAAAGACUACCAUACAAGGUCUUAUUUCUUGUAGUGUCUCUUCCAAGCUAGAUGACAUCGUCAAUUCUUUAGACUCACUUCAUAAGGAGUUUUCUGAUUCCUCAGCGUUAUGUUUUGAUUCCUCAACGUUGGUAUCGAUGUUUACAUCAUUUCCAACAUAAUACCAUGUUAAAUCGACGAGGUGCUCGAGUUGGCGAGAUGACCGGCUUUGAGCCGACAGGGUUGUUCAACGGAGUUGCCAUAGAAAGAAGAGGGAAACUGGGAUUUUGAAGAACGCUUAACCAAAGUGAACCGGUGGUUAAGCAGACUGGGUUUAGAAAGAAAUUAGAGUGAAAUUACUUUCUGUAUAGAUUGAAUGAUAUUGAGAGUUAAUUACAAUUAUCUUAUAAUGAAUUCACUAACUAUUACAUAACUAACUCUCAACUAAAAUAAAACUAAAUUCAAUUCUUAAUUUCGUAGCCCAACACUUGAAUCUGGUCCAUAUACAAUUGGCCCAUUUUCUUUUAUUGAAACUAUUGCGCAUUAGCCCUCCAGCUUCUUUUAUAUCCUAAACUUAAGUGUUGGGUAAAUUGUCUGCACAGUAAACACUUCACAGAAACUAUUAACAGAUAUUGAACUUAAUAGAAAUUGCAGUUUAGUCCUGAGUUCAGUUUAAUAUAAUUUCAGUAAUUCUGUUUAUUGUUUUAAACACUGUUUAAGGUUUAUUAAAUCCUUUAAGAACUAAUGUCCAGGGUACGACUUCGGAUUUCGGUAUACCAUUUACAUGCUUACAUACAUGAGAAGACAACUUCAAGUCGUAAAUCGAUCGCCAUUAUUUUUAAACAAACGUGAGAUAUUCUUAAGGGUCGUUGAUGAAGCACGUAAUAUGCUACUAGGGGGCUCGGGGGGUUGCGAGAUGAGCCGGAGGCUUUGUAGUCUACGAUGUGCGCUCUACGUCAAUGUACCUACAGAGAGGAGGGGAAUCGGUGACUCAGCAAGGGAGUCGGCUAUUCGGGCUCCUGAAGGUGCUCUGGUUGGAGUGUGUUGUCAAGUAUGUUGGAGAGGAAUGAGAUGAUGAAUGAGGACCCCCAGAGGGUCCCUUUUAUAGGGUCCUUGGGGCGUUUCUCAUUCAUUAUUCCUGGGGCCCACGCCAUUAUGGUGCCCUAUUGAUGGUGCCAUAAUGAUGCUGGCCAAGUCAAGUAACGCCUGGGAGUUGGCGACUUAGGUGUGGGAGUCGGCGACUCAGGGUGGAACCAUCGAUUCCCCAUGAGCCAGGUUGACAGUCUACCAGAACUGACCAACUAGGCCUGGAAUCGAUGGCUCACUACUGGAGUCGGAGACUUAGUAGUCCCAGUCGUCGAUUCCCAGUGUUGACUUGAGUACUUGACGUAGACAUUUGCCCGCAACCGUGGAGCUCUCCGGGGGUCCGGCAUAAAGCGAUGGAACCCUAGUCCUUGUUGAAGGGCAUUGUUGGGAGUAACUGACGUAAUCAGGCAUUUCUCACCAGUACUCCCCCCUAAAGAGAGCACAAGAAACAUGCGUGUACCGCCAGUAUCCCCCCAAGCAAGGAUAUUGUGUGAUCCGCAUCACUAUCAGAUGGGAUUGAAUCAUUGCGGCCAUAGCGACACAGUGAUCUCGUAUCCAUCACUAUCAGAUGGAUUGAUUAAUUAUCAGAAUCUAGUUCCAGGCCAACGGAACUACGUGUUUAUAGUCCAUCCCUGAUCAAGGGCGACUUUUGCUGUGUCAUCAAGGCCAAAGCGACAAGAUGAAUUGACUCACUAUCAGAGUUUGAUUCUGGCCGAAGCGACAGAAUUUAUUGAUUCACUAUUAGAAUCUAGUUCACUAUUAUAACUAAUGUUUAUAGUCAACUCUGAUCAAGAGCGACUUUUUGUCCACAACGAUGGUUACCCCAUCAAGGCCAAAGCGACAAGAUGGGUUGAGAUCAUUAAGGCCAAAGUGACAAAAUAAUCUCUAGUCUAUCAAGGCCAAAGAGACAAGAUAGAUUGACUCACUAUGAGAGUCUGACUCACUGUUAGAGUCUGGUUCACUAUUAGAACCUAAUUCACUAUUAGAAUCUUACCUGCAAAAAAGAAAACAUCCUGCAAAAUAACUAGAUCAGUCUAAAAUGCAUAUUAUUAUUGACUUAUUGAACUUACCGUGCGAUUUUACCUUCCGUGAUGCCCCUCCUUUGCUCAAAUUGAUCAUUGGUAAAUCUGACCGAAGCGACAGAAUUUACCGUGCUCAAAUUUUUUGACGACUUCUGGCCGAAGCGACAGAAGUGUCGGGAGAGCUUGUAAUACUCCCCCUCGAAAUGUGACGACUUUUAGCCGAAGCGACAGAAGUGUCGGGAGAGCUUAUGAUACUCCCCCUCGAAAUGUGACGACUUCUGGCCGAAGCGACAGAAGUGUCGGGAGAGCUUGUGAUACUCCCCCUCGAAAUGUGAGGACUUCUGGCCGAAGCGACAGAAGUGUCGGGAGAGCUUGUGAUACUCCCUCUCGAAAUGUGACGACUUCUGCCUGAAGCGACAGAAGUGUCGGGAGAGCUUGUGAUACCCCCCCUCGAAAUCGUGCCAUUAUGACACAUAACCUUUGGAAUGAGUAGUUUGAUUGUCAAUGGGCUAUCUUUUGUUUUUUCUUUCUAAUCUUUCAUAUAAAUUACCCUUUAAAUUAUAACUAAGGCCCGAAACUAGAUUCACAAGUCGUAAUUUAGCCACUCUGUAUGUAAAUUAGACUCUGCUAACCCUAUUGCUAGCCACUCUGGGUGUAGACUUGGUCAUACGAAUCGUAGCUCAGCCUACGGUUAAAUUUGCGGAUAAUUUAUACCUCCAGAUUAACGUAGAGUUAUAAAAUAUAGAGCAAACGACGAAUCCAAAAAAUAUUCGAAAUUCGAGGGUUACCUUUGUAAUUUUUAUUUACGUCUUAGUUUGAACCCUGAUGCCGGUAAGAGCUUAUGAUACUCCCCCCUGAGAUGUGACGACUUCUGGCCGAAGCCACAGAAGUGUUGGAGAGAGCUUGUGAUACUCCCUCCUGAAAAUAUGUUGUUUACCCUGAGUCGGCGACUAGGUGCCCCAAUCGUCGACUCCUAUGUUUUGGGUAACUGUGAGAGUUGUUUUGAAAUUUCCCCGCCUUGAGUCAGCGACUCCCUCUGGGAAUCUUCGACUCCUAUUGUGAAACGUAGGAUCUCUCAGAAGAUCGUUGGAGAUAUUUGGAGAAUAUAUGCAAAUUUUUCAAUUAAGGAAAUAUAUCUCUCAAAUUUUGCAAAAUAGUUACCGGAAUCGACGAUUCAGCAUGGGAAUCGUCGACUCGGGCGUGAUUUCAGGGAUUUGGAGAUCGAUUUCCGAUUCCUUCUCUUGCAAUUUCUGGAUUUUCUAGGGGGUUUUUGCAAUUUUCCCAGGGGCUAGAAAUAGUGGCGAGCGAUUCACACUUCUCACUCAACUUUUCCCCAAAUUGAAUCGCCUAACCAAACCCUAGAACCCUCUGUCACCGAUUCCCUAGUUCAAUUCAACUCGAGUCGACGACUCCGAGAUGGCAAGAACUAGUCCUCACCAAACUGAUGCCGAGGCCGCCGCCAUGAUCGCGGAGAUGGCCAGAGAAGACAUCAUCGUCGAGAUGCUGAACACCGUUGAGUCGCCGAUUCCAUCUCCUCCCAGAGACGUUGAAUCGACGAUUCCGGUAGUUCCAUCUGCCGACGACAAUCUGAGUACUUCUGUGCAUGAACUGCUGGAGCCUAUGGCUGGGUGGACGAUUCCCUCUGUGGGAUCGACGAUUCCGGACAAGGUUCCGGAAGUCAUGCCAGAGGCUGAGCAGGGAGAAAUACUUGGUGAGUCCACGAAUCCCACUAGCUUCGGGGUCGCCGAUUCCCAGGGGUUUAAAGAAGAAAGCCUUCUUCAAGAGAAGGGAUAAGAUGGUCGCCGACUCAGAAGCAGCUAAUAUACGCUAUGAGUCGGCGACUGGCCAGGAUGAAUCGACGACUCCCGUAGUUGAGUCGGCAAUUCCUAUUGUAAUAGUGAAUGAUUCAAGUACGCAUCCUGAGCCACUUGUUGUAAAUGCUAAGGGUCUCAUCGUAUCUGGGAUGAACCCUAAUAAACGACAAUCUGAGGACAAUGGUUCCAAGAAGAAGAGACGACGACGAAGCCAUGGCAAGGGUAAAAUCCAUGUGCCUGGCCAAGAGGAGAAGGCUGAGAAUCCUCAAAACUUGAAUUUCGACAAGGAGUUAGUCUUCGAACGUAAAGUUCCCAACCCCGCCCCUAAUGCGGGUCAACGCUUGAGAGAAAGAACUCCUCCACCUCCAGUCGAGAUGGAUCUUGGUCAUGAUCCUUAUGCUGAUUUCCCUAGCUACAUUGGGAUAGUGAACCCGACUGGAUAUGCGCAUUGCGAGAAGUUUGUUAAUGGCGCAAUACAGUUGCUCCCUUCGACCGAUCGGGCGAGGGUCGAUUUGAACAAGUGAUGACUAUGGCGACGCUUACGCGUCAAUCUGAUGUACAUCUCCCUUCCAUCAUCAGCGCGAGCGAGGCUCGAGAUCUUUUGAGGGGGAUGAGGAUUUCGGGACACCUCCGCUUCUGGAUGUCUCAAUACCAGCCUACGAACCUCCCACCACCGGGGUUCCAGGCCUUGCCGAAGAUGUAUUUCAAGCACUUCUCUGAGCUGCCAAUUCCAGAGCUCAUGAGUGAGAUAUUGCUUACUUUCGAGACCUCGCUGUCACAACUACCAGCAGGAUUCUUUGUAACGCUGCGAGGAUUCUCCAACAUCUGUUGGAGCUUGAACAUCACUCCCACUCCGCACUUUUUCCUCAACUAUUAUAAGUUGUGCAAGGAUGGGAAGGUUGGAUCAGGUCGUCUCGGGUUGGCGCGACGAAACCUUGAUCGCAACCUGGUUGAUGAUCUUCCUUCUAACCACGGAGUGUGAAAGAAGGAGUUUGUUUUUGUCAAUUCUGAAUUUCUUCCCGGGAGUCGGGAAAGUUGGGCGAACCCGAACUGCACGCAGCUGAGCGCAAACCUAGGCUUAAUGGCGGAUGAUGUGAUUGCCACCACCAAGAUUGCCAAGGCUCUGAAAGCUAAUAACUUGCUUCCUGGCGUGCCUUUUGUCCUCUGCCAGCGUGAGGACUAUACUUUUGAAGAUGUUGAGGAGGCUCUGAAACCUCCCACGAAGGAAGAGAUUGCGAGCGGGAAGAAGCGCACACUCUUGUUCUUUGAUGCUGCCGCUCUGCACAUGGCUGCGAGGUACCGACGGGCGAAGCUGAUCAGAUUGGAGAAAACUAAUGCUUCCAAGCCCAAAAGUACUUUUGAGAGGGGUUCAAGUUCUCAAGCUGCCCUUGAGAAAUCAGGUUUCGCACCCUACAUGAGUGGCGUGGCUCUCCCUGACUUUAUGGCUGAUCCACAAGUCAGAGCGGAUGCCAUGUCCAUCCUCAUGGCGAAACCUGGGAGAUGGGUUCGGAGUGAGCUCAUGACAGCUCUGAAUGCUGUAAGUGCUUCUAAUCUUCCGAAAACAUUUUUAUUUAUUUUUUAUUGUUUGCUAACUUGUUUUGUUUUUGUAGGUUUGCUAUAUGGCCCAUGCGUGUUUCGGCAUGGACUCGAUUAAUAACGUCCAAAGAAUUUUUUAGAAUAAGUGACGUAAGCACUUAGAACUUUUUUCGAUCCUCAGACUCUAGAUUUCAUUCCCUAAUAUGUAGUUGAACUCUGGCCGAAGCGACAGAGUAACUUUUUACCCUCAUCAAAGCCAUAGCGACAAGAUGGGGUUGGAUCUUUAAGGCGAUAGCGACAAAACAAUUUUUCAUCUAUUAAGGCCAUAGCGACAGAAUAGACUUUUGUAUGUGUUGUGGGUACUUAGAACCUCUUGGGGUUAGGUUCACUUAUGCUUAUCAACUACCUAAGACUCUACACUUAGACCCUAAUGUGUAGUUGAACUCUGGCCGAAGCGACAAAGUAACUUUUGGACCCACAUCAAAGCCAAAGCGACAAGAUGGGGUAGGAUCGUUAUGGCCAAAGCGACAAAACGAUUUUAAUCUAUUAAGGCUGAAGCGACAAAAUAGAUUUCUAAUUAAGGUAGGGUGCUAGUUAGAGUCUUAGGUAGGUGAUUUUGAAAGAAAUGCCAACUUUAUUGACUUUUUGAAAUAAGAAUUACAAAGAUAAAAUCUAACUAUUCUACUUUGUAAUUUGUACUAGCAUAUAUACUAAGAGGACCUAAGAAAUAAUGUGUUCAAUACUAAGCGUAGUAUUGCUGCAUAUUGUCCGCGUGCCAGGUGUUUGGAACCAUUGUUCCAUCCUGCCGCCGUAGACGAUAAGUUCCUGACCUUAUCUCCUCUUCGACGAUGUAGGGACCUUCGAAGUUGGAUGACAGCUUAUUCCUUGGUCUAUUCCUCUCAGUUAUGCUAGCCUUCCGCAUGACGAGAGUUCCUGGCAGGAAGACUUUUUUGCGUACUUGGCGAUUGUGGUAUCUCAAUACGCUUGCCUUGUACGAUUUGUUCCGCAAGUCCGCCUCGUCACGGGUUUCAUCCCUCAACUCUAGCUCUGUAGCUAGAUUUUGGUCAUUUGUUUGUUCGACGUACUUAGAGACUCGGUAUGUUGGUAUACUCAUCUCAAUUGGUACAACUGCCUCCACUCCAUAGGUCAUAGCGAAAGGAGUGUUGCCCGUGGGGUUUUUACUUAUUGUGCGAUAUGCCCAUAGGAUUUCGCACAACUAGUCUGCCCAGGCCCCUUUGGCUGAUUCGACUUUCUUUUUCAAUCCUUGUACGAUGGCCUUGUUGGUUACCUCCACUUGUCUGUUUGCCUGAAGUCGGUAAACGGAAGCAAAGUGGAGUUUUAUGUUUAGGUCCUCGCACAUACUUGAAAAUUUCCCCCCUGUGAAUUGGGUACCAUUGUCUGUGACAAUAUGUUGGGGGACUCCGAAUCAACAUACUAUGGAGCGGUAGACGAACUUGACUGUCGCAUCCUGAGUGAUCUUCGCUACAGCCUGAGCCACGACCCACUUUGUAAAGUAAUCUACUGCUACAAAGAUGAAUCGAGCUUGGGAUGUUGAAGGUGGGAAUGGUCCUACGAUGUCCAGUCCUUACCUUGCAAACGGGAUCGAGCUCAGAAUCGGAGUCAUAUCCGCGGAUGGUUUCUGUUGCAUUGGACUAUGCAACUGACAUGCUCGGCACUUGCGGACGUAAAUGCGAGCUUCUAACCGUAGGGUGGGCCAAUAGUACCCUAGCCUUAUGAUUUUGAAGGCAAGUGCUCUUCCUCCCUCAUGGAGCCCGCACAAGCCUUCGUGUACUUCCUGAAUCAACUUAUACGUGUCAGUUUGAUCAAACAACACAGCAACAGGUUGUCGAAGGACUUUUUGUAAAGUAGCCCUUCGACGUCGUAAUAUUUGACUGCCUUGUGUUUUAGUUUUUUGGCCUCCCCCUUGUUGUCAAGAAGUACUCCAUUCUGAAUGAAUGCCAAUAUUGGUUGUCUCCAAUCCUCUUGGGGAUCAGACGAGACACUCAAUAUCUGGCAUGUGUGUUGGAGUAUUGAGUCCACCAAGAUUUCGCGCUGGCCUCCCUCCCAAGCCGAUGCGAGGCGUGCCAGCGCAUCGGCGGGCGUAUUUUGAGUGCGAGAAAUUUGCUCGAUUUUGAACUCGGCGAAUUGUUUGGUGAGUGCCACCAUUGCCUCUAUAUACUUAGUGAUCUGUGGUUCUUUGCAGGCAAAUUCACCCGUGGUUUGCCGAGCAACAAGCUGGGAGUCAGUGCGAAGUGUGACAUUCUCAGCGCCGAGAGUUCUCAACAGCUUCGUGCCGUGUAUAGCUGCAUCGUAUUCCGCGACAUUGUUAGAUGCCGGGAAGUGAAGCCGUACCGAGUGUUCGUAGUUUUUUCCAUCCGGACUAUGGAUUUUUACUCCGAUACUCGAGCCUGUGCUGCAACUCGAACUGUCUACUUCCAUAAUCCAGGGUUGGGCCUGGUUUGACGGUGUGAGCUCGACGAUGAAGUCCGCUACAGCUUGCCCUUUGAUGGCAGUGGCUGGUCGGAAAUCUAAGUCGAACUCACUGAGCUCGAUUUCCCAUUUGGUUAACCUUCCCGAGAUAUCUGGCUUGUUAAGAAGACGGUGUAAGGGACAUGUUGUAAGUACUAUGAACGUGUGCGCUAAGAAGUAGGCUCGAUAACGACGGCAAGCGUGGAUUACAGCAUAUACGAUUUUCUCAAUUGGUGAGUACCGUAUUUCCACACCUUGCGGUCGCCUCGAGUGACAGUAGAUAGGGAUUUGAUCUUGUCCCAUUGCUCUAUGAGGACUGCACUUACGACUUCCUCUGAAGCCGCUAUGUAUAAGUACAGGUCUUCCCUAUCCUUGGGUGAAGUCAGCAUUGGAAGUCAGGACAUAUGUGCUUUUAACUUUGUAAAUACCUCCACACAUUCCGGUAUCCAAGUGUGACUACCCUUACCCGCAGUUUUUAGUAGCUUGAAAAACGGUUUGCAUUUGUCAACCAUUUGCGAUAUGAAACGACUGAGCGCAUUAAUUCGUCCGUUCAACCUUUGUACAUUUCUGAUUGUGCGGGGGGCUUCCAUAUCAAGGAUUGCAUGGAUUUUGUCGGGAUUUGGUUUGAUCCUGUGCUGACCUACAUAGAAACCAAGGAACUUGCCUUCCUUGAUUCCGAAGGAACACUUGACCGGGUUGAGCUUCAUCCCGUAUUGCUUCAAUGUGCCAAGGGUUUCUCUCAGAUCCUCAUGGUGCAUUUCCACGCAUGACGAUUUGACCAAAAUGUCAUCAACGUAAGAGGAAACGUUGCGCCCGAUCUGGUCCGCAAAAACCUUGUCCAUUAAGCGUUGGAAUGUAGCUCUAGCAUUCCUUAAGCCGAAUGUCAUUACUCUGUAACAGAAUGUCCCUGAGUACGUGAUAAAUGAUGUUUUUUCUUCAUCAGGCUCAUGCAUCAGGAUCUGGUUAUAUCCUGAGUGGGCAUCCAUCAUAGAGAGGAGUUCGUUACCAGACACUUCAUCGACUAGUUCGUCAAUAGAUGGGAGCGGGUAACUAUCCUUGGGGCAUGCUUUAUUGAGAUCUAUGAAAUCAAUGCACAUGCGCCACUUGCCAUUGGGCUUUUUGACAAGGACGGGGUAGGCCAACCAAGUCGGAUAUCGAAUCUCUCGAAUGUGUCCAACAUUCAGAAGUUUCAAUAUCUCUUCGUUGGCGGCUUACCGUCUGUCAGAAGUGAGUACUCGACGCUUUUGGCGACGAGCUGGGAUGGAUGGGUCGAUAUUGAGCUUUUGCGUCACGAUUUGACGCGCAAUCUGUGUCGGUGCCUCACCCUCCCAAACGAACCUGUCCUGGUGCUCCUUCAGGACAAUCACAUGCUUGGCCCUUAGGUCAGGGGCUAACCCCUUCCCUAAUACCACGUGUCCCCCUUCAGCUGGUAUAUUUCAGUCUCAUCCAUGGGUUGUAAUUUUUCCCUCUCCCCAUUGUCGGGUGGGGUGUGGACGAGCAUGUUGUUUAGUUUGACCAACUGGGUUGCCUUCUUAUACCCUUGUCUAGAAUUCUUUUGUGAUCCUUUGACAGUUGCGACGAUCCCUUUGACUCGGUAUCGUAUGCACUGGUGAUAAGAAGACGGGACUGCUUUGAUCCCAUGGAUGAAGGGUCGUCCAAAGAUGCCGUUAAAAGUGGAUUCUACUUCUACCACUAUAAAACGACAUGUUCGACUAACCCUUCCUCGCCGGGAUCCGAUGGAGACCUUCAGGUCAAUAACGCUGGCCACCGGGGUGGCGACGUUUGUAAACCCUGUAGAUGGCUUCCUUGCAAGGAGACAGAUCCUCCUUUUUAAGGCCUAUCUUGGUGAAAGUGUCCAUAUAGAGGAUGUCCGCGGAACUGCCACUGUGAACAAUCAUCCUCUCGACACGGGAAGUGGGACCGAUGUCUGCUUGGAUCACGAGUGGAUCCUCAUGAGAUUGCAGGAUAUCGUCCAGGUCCUCUUCAGAGAAGUAUAUCGACUUCUCUUCGCGGACCCGCUUCCCAUUAUCACGAGGUGUUGAUUGUGACAUCAGCACCUUCCGGACAUAUCCCCUAUUAUGGCCAACGGAUCCACCACCAAAUAUCAUAUUGAUGGUUUUCUGUUGGCGGUCCUCGCUACUGUUGUUGUUUGGCGAAUGAGAGUGUGGACGCUUCCCCUUCGGGUCAGACUUACAAACGUCCUGUCCCCGGUAUCCUUUGACAAAGUUGCCAAGUUUACCCUUCGAGAUCAGUUGCUCGACAUAAAGCGAGAACUCCCUAUAAUGGUUCGUCAUGUGGCCGUGGUCCUUGUGGAAUUUACAUAAUCUUCCACCUUUUUUACAGCUACCCUUAGUUGCAGGUUCCAAAGAACGAGGAGCGGGCAGAUCCGCUCGGUUCUUCAGUUUCUCAAACAACUCGCCUUUGCUGAUUGUUAGUGGGGUCCAAUCCUUCCAUGGUUGGGGUGGACCCUUUGACGACUGUUUGGUAGAGGUCUGAUACACCUUGUUGUCGUGUUUGGGCUUCCAUUCCUUUUUGAAGGAAUCAGCCGCAUUGUCAGUGUAUUUGUUCGAGGAGCCAUGAAAAUUGUUCUUCCCAUUGUAGCUCUUCUUCUCGAACCUUGGUUUUUUGAAGCUAGUGCUCUCAAGUUCCACUAGCCUGUUUUCAUUUUCCUCUUCCACCUCAAUGUAUGAUUGAGUUUGCUGGAAGAGGUCUGGUAAAGUCUCCACUUUAUGGAGCAUAAGAUUCUGGGCCAAAGGGGAGUAGGGUACCGGCCCUUUCAUGUACCCCGCUAUGGCCAGACUCGGGAUUAAGUCGCUCACUUCUAUCAUCAUUGAAGUGAACUUAAUCGUAUAAUCCCUUAACGACAGCUUGUUUUGUCGUAGUGCCAGCAGUGCAUUGUCACUGUGUUUAAUCCUGAUCAUCCCCACAUGUUGGGCGAUGAACUUGGACGAGUGGUGUGCAAAGCUGGAGAUUGAUCCAGCUGACAGAUCGGAAAACCUCCGAUAAGCAUUGCCCUUGAGAGUGUCGGGGAAUGCCUGACACAACAGCGCGUUAUCGGUGGUUUGCAAUCAUAGUGGGUUCCUGCAUAAGUUGUGAGACCUUGUUGAUUGGAAAUGUGAGAUCAGGACGUGUGUAAUUAUGGGAUUUUGAAACACAUCGAUGAUCUGUCUAAACAGUAUUGGUUAUUCGAAUGGCACGUACUGGCUGUUGGCUUCACAUUCGAUAAAUUUACCUUGUCCAGGAUCAAAUGAGAUACUGGUGCUUAAUUAAAAACAGGGAACCAUGCAUCUUUGUCGUAAUUAAUAUGAAUGCCCAAAAAAUGGUGUAAAUCUCCGAGCACUUUGAUUUGAAAUAUCUUCGUUUACUGGUCAUUCGUUUGGCGAGCAAAUACGUCCGAUGAACUUGUCAAUAUUAUGUCGUCAACGUAGAUGAGAAAUAGGGCCUCAAUCCCCUCGCCUCUGUAGAAGAAGAGAGAGUGAUCGCUUUUGCUACUUUGAUCUUGAGUCUAAUCAUAGCAUCCCGAAGCCACUGGAACCAUGCCCUUGGGAUUUGCUAGAGUGGUAGAUGGACUUUUUGAGCUGACAUACAUGUGUGGGAAAACCUUUAUUUACGAACUCAGUAUGUUUCUGCAUGAGUACUUGCUCGGAGAGAAUGCCGUGGAAAAAAGCGUUUGAGACGUCCAACUACACGAUAUUCUAUCCUUUUGAAACUGCCCGAGCAAUCGCACUCCUUACAGUCAUCGGCAUGAUUACGGGCACGAAGGUCUCUCCAUAGUCAAUCCCAUCUCGUUGUCGGUAUCCAUUCGCUACUAGACGUGCUUUCCUUCGAUCGAGUGUACCAUCUGGACCCAGCUCAAUUCUUCCGAAAGACCCAUUUGCAAGAGAGCACAUUCUGAUCAGGAGACUGCGCAAUGAGCUCCCAUGUCUGGUUUUCCAUUAAAGCAUUGUAUUCGUCUUUCAUGGCCACUGUCUAAUCCUUGUCUUCUAGAGCCUCGGUCGCACCUGAGGGGAUUGGUAAAGGAGCAGAAAUUUGACAAAUAUAUUUUGGAUUAAGUUUUCAAAUCCCAAUUUGGGACCUUGUAACCAUGUUUUGUCCGUGAAUAUUGAGAGUUUCCUCUGAGGCAUCUGUAUCAAAUAGUUCCCCUAUGGCAGUUGUAUCAUUAACCUAGGUCGGGGGUGCAUUUUCUGUUGUUCCAACUAGGUCUAAGCUUGAAUCGAAACGAGGAACGACGGGCGAUGCUUCUUUCUCGAUAAUGGUCGGAAAACCUGUCAAACCUGGCUCAAGAAACGGAACUGACUCGGUCAAUUGUAAUUUCUGACUUUGAUUGAAAUCUGAUUCAAAAAUCACACAGUCUCUUAAUAUGAUAAUUUCCCCAGAUUUUGGAUUAUAACAGAUAUGCGUACCCUCGGUGGUAUGAUAGAUAGCCAAUAAAUCAGUUCGGUCUAAGAUUAGGGUAAACCAUACAACCGACUACCUGAAUAUCUUGGAAAUUUGGGGCAAAGUUAAACAUUUCUUCAAACGGUGAGUUUCCGUUGAGCGUAGUCUUCGGAGUGCGAUUAUACAAGAAUGCCGCCAUGUGAAAAGCGUAUUGCUAGAACCGAAAUGGAAGACUAUAGUGGUGAAGAAAUACAAGUUCAAUGACGACGAUGUGUCUGUGGCAUCGCCCGUACCCAUCUGGGUAAGUGCAUACGGGCAGGAAAAACGAUGCUCAAUGCCUACUUCAGCAAGAUACAAUCGGAAAGAUCGAAAUAUCCCCCCAUUAUCGGACUGAAUAGCCUUAAUAUUCUUCCCAGUUUACCUCUCGAUGUAUACCCUAAACAAUUUGAAUGAUUGCAUAGCAUCGGACUUGGAUGUUAAGGGAAAAAUCCAGUUGCAUUUGGUGUGAUCAUCCACGUAAUUGACGAAAUAAUAGUGACCGUCAGUGGAUUGUUCAGGAGCCGGUCCCCACAGAUUGACGUAGAUUAGAUCAAGAAGAUAUUUAGAUGAGUUUUCUUGUCUUGAGGGGUGAGGAAGGUGGUGGUGUAGAUCCACAAGAGUGACAGUCGGAAAUUUGAUGUUUAUUUUAUAUUGAUAAAUUGUAUCGUUUUACAAUAUCUAAUGUUAAUUUCGAAGAUUUGUGACCCAGAUGAGCAUGCCAUAAAUCAACCGGAAUUUUUCCAAUGAGAUUGACCUUCGGUUGUGCUGAAUCUCCCAAGUUCACUAAUACAUCCCUUGCCUAUCCUCUUUCACCUGAGCUAUGACAUCUUUAGUUUGCAUAUCAAUCACAUACACAGAUGAUGAGUCGAUGAACAUACCAAAUUUAUUAUCCUUACACAGUUUGUUCACGGAUAAUAAAUUUUGAGAAACAGAGAGGGAACUAUUUGUAGAUCUUUUAUUUCAAAUUCUUUAGAACCCAAUUUGAAAAUCGCAUCUCCUACCUUGGAUGAAAAAAGUACUGAACCAUUUGCUAUUGUAAUUCCUGAAUAUUUCAAGAGAGAAUUAGCAAAUUAUACAAAAAUGCCAUUACCUGAUACAUGACCUUUUGUUCGAAAUCGGGAUUCCAGAGAGCAUUGACUUGUGCCGGAGUUGCAUACACGGUCGAUUUCUUUGCAAUAGACAGUUGUCUUGCGCGAUGUUCCGGUGGAGAAGGGUAUAGAUUUUCAUUGUGCCUAUUGUGACAUGCGAUUGUCAAAUGCCCUUUCUUGCCGCAGAUUUGGCAAGAGACACGUUCCUUAUUGUAGGAUUUCAUCAUAUUUUUAGAUUACAAAGCUUGAGUCAGACCACAAACUUUAGUUUUUAUCAUUUCUUGAUUUAUGAGGUGUACUCGCAUAGUUUGAACUGUCAUGGUGGCAAGCUGGGACGAAAUAAUAGCCACGAUUGACUCAAAAUCAGAGUUAAGACCUCCAAUUGCAUAAAAGAUUAUCUUUGAAUCAGAGAUUACUACGCCCCCUGCUCAAAGAUUUUGAAUCAGUUUAGUUAUUUUGAGAAGGUAAGCCUCCAUUGAUAAUUUGCCUUUCUCAAUUGUCUGAAAAAUCCUUGAGUCGGAUGAAGAAGCAUGGAUCUUUUGUAAUGUGCACCAUACUGAUGCUCAAGAAUCAAGACUGGCCGGUUACCUGUGAUAAUACAACUGAUGAUAGUGUCGAGAAGAUACAACCAAAAAUUAUAUGAUCCUGUUAGAUCUUGAGAUCGUCGUCUAACACGAUCGUGCCUUCAACAUACGGUAGAAGAUCGUAACCAUGCAAGAAGAUUCUGAAUUGUGCUUGCCAGUUGAAGAAGCUCUCAUUCAUAAGUUUCUUAGCAUUCACAUGCUUAAUCUUGACCAGUUUGACCUGCCUAAGGAAGCUGUCGGUGGAAUCAGUCGCCAUGCCUUAUUACAGAAGUAAGAACCGCAGAGGUGGAGUAGUAGAAAUAAACAUAAACGACCCAAGAUCGAAGAGUCUAACUAACGUCUUAUACCAUAUUGUAACUAAAUCGGAGUGAUUGAUUCUAUUUUCACUUUUUCAUACAAUGCUCAUUACAGUAUUUAUUUAUACUAUUAUUUAGUUAGUUACAUCUAACCACAAAUUGUUAGUUUAAUCAAUCUGGAUUAGAUUUGCCUAAUAUGUAACACCCUAGAACCUGGCAAGAUUUCCUUUUGGCUCAUGUACAUGAUCUACGCAUAAGUUACUUUCAUAUGUUAGGUAUAGGUAUUAGGUUCGGUAACAUAAACUCCUAUAAUUGAUCAUCUACUGAGUAACCUAUCAAACUAUUGACACGAUAAUUGAUGGUAUGCUCGAUUCGUACGUAUACCGACUAUCUAUGGACCAGACGAUAAGUUGGGUAUAUAUAGGUAUUCUCCCCCUCCCCAACCUAAGAGGUGAUGCGAUUGGGAAAAAAUAAAAAAUAAAAAUACUCUGCUUCAUCAUUAGGUCUCUAUUUAGACAUACUUUCAUUUGCCAAAAUCGUAGGAUAACAAAAAAAAUCACCGAAAAUCCCCAAAUUUUGGCUAUUUUUAAGAGUAAAUGCCUGAGUGUCAACCUGGGAUGAUUCUUUUGUGAACUGAGGUCCCACACCUUAGUGGACCAUUCAUACUCUUUUUACCCACUAGUUUAGGUAUUUUAUAAUUAAAUCAUAAAGUUAAAGAUAAUGUAUGUUAAGAAAAUAUAAUAUGUAUUUUUAUAAUUAAAACCCUAAACUAUAUUAAUAUAUUAUAUAAUAUAUGUUAUAAUUUCCGGAUCCGGAUCUGGCUAAUUAGGACCCAGAACCGGAUACAGACUAAUUAACGGUCAGGUCCAAAAUGUUUAAUGGGGCUAAAAUCAAUCCCAGACCCAAACGACCGGGUCCACCCAGACCCAUUUGUUGGAUCGAGAUCUGAGGCUAUAAGGGGGGAUAAUAACCUCUUUUUCGAUUAGGCAGGUUAAAUGCGGAAUUACCUGCAAAUACUUGAUACACAAAUGGUUGAAUAACAAUAAAAAGAUUAUAAUAUUAUAUCUUACAAUAUAAUAUUAUAUAUAUUUAUAUUCAUGCCUUUUCUCUUCAAAGCUUACUACAGUAUAUGAAUACUGAGUCGGCUUAUUAGAUAGUGCUUUAUAAACAACUGUAUUAUAUAGAUACUAAGUUAUAUUAUAAGUGCAUGUUAUAGUAUUAGAGUAAAGGACUAGUGAACUGGAUAUAAGAUGAUAAGUAAAUAACUGACCAGAUAACUGGAUAUAUAUGAUAAGUAAAUAUCUGACCAGAUAACUGGAUAUAUAUGAUAAGUAAAGAGUUGACAAGAUAAAUGGAUAGAGAUUUGAACAAUAAAUAUAACCUCAGAUACUUGACCAGAUAACUGGAUGAGGGAUCUGUAGAAAGUAGUCAACCUCUAUACUUGACCAGAUAACUGGAAGAGGGAUCUUUUUUAUUAAGUGUUGCUUAGACAAUAAAUAAAACUAAAGUUAACAAAGAAAAAUACAAAAUAUUUAUACUGGUUCACCCAAACAAGGGCUAGUCCAGUCCUGACAAACUAUCGGAAUUCACUGGCCUAAAGGUAAUGGCAAAACCUUAGAGUAUCAAGGAAACUCUUAAGAAUCUCUAACUUUUACGGGUAAGUUAGUACCUUAGAGUAUCAAGAAACUCUUAAAAACCUCUCUAAGCUUUAAGGCUACUUCGCUUAAGAACCAGUCUUUUACGGGUAGACUCACACCUUAGAGUAUUAUGGAACUCUUAAAAACCUCUAACUUUUACGGGUAAGUUAGGACCUUAGAGUAUUAAGGAAUUUUUAAAAUCCUUUCUAAAUCUUUCAAGGUAGAUUUCACCUAAGAGUUUUUCCGGAAACUCUAUAAAACCAAACAAGAGUUUUUUGGUUGAGCUCAAAAACCUUCUCUCACACUUUGAUGAUAUUGAGACAAACCUCUCAACCAAUGUGGACACACACAAGUGAGGAUUAGAGGAGUGGAAUGUUUAAAGCACACAAAACUUCUUACUUGUAAAGAUGAACAAGAAGGUUAGAAUUAGAAGUUGGAGUGCUUUGAAGCUUUUAGAAGCUUGGACACUUGAGAGCUUUUGGAAGCAAGAACACUUUGUAGAUCUCAAGAUAUGGAGUGGAAGCUCUUUGAAAUACUUUGGGUGUGGUGAACGAAAAUGGAGGGUCUGGACCUCUAUUUAUAGCCUAGGUCAUCACUUGUCUACCCUUAGAUCUUCAAUGGAUGGUUCAUUGAUUCCUCACAAAAGUUUAAGAUUUUGUCUUCCCAAGAAGCUUGAAUAUAGUUGAAGCUUGCUUUUUGUAGAUAUGAUUUCAAUCAAGGAUAUCUUUGUCCCUUUGAGAAGAUUCACUUGUGAAUAUAUCUUUUGCUCCUUGGUUAUUGUUCCUUGACUAAAAUGUUAGAGAUAACAAUAAUAAUUAUAUUCAAGGUAUUUAUGCAAUUGAACCAAUUCGAUUUUGACUUUGAUUAAACCCUUGACUUAAUUAAUUUAAUUUAGGUCUAAUCUUGACUAAUUUUACCCUUUGGGUUAAUAGUGUAAUUAGGAUAAAAUUAACAUGAUUAAAAUAUAAUCCUAAAUUGACAAUUUUGAUUCUACAUUCUCCCCCUUUGUCGAUGGCAUAUAUGUUUUAAUUCAUGUUUAGUCAAUAUUUUAAUUUACCCUUCUGAGCAUGCUCCCCCUGAAUUAUUGACUUAUAAUAUUCAGUUUAAAAUAGUGAGUAAUAUAUCUCCCCCUUAAAACAAUAAGGUAUUGACGAAGUUAAAACUUGAUACCUGAGUAUCUCCCCCUUAAUAAUAGAACAUAUCGAAUUUGUGGAGAAAAUAAAAGUUCAUACCUCAUUGAGCUUGAUCACAAAUUUGAGUUUCAUGGUUGACCAAAUGUGACUUUUAGCUUAUAAGAGUGUUAGUCAAUCAUAUAUAUAGGAGAAAUAUAAUUUUGCUCAUUUGUGAAAAAUAUGAGUGUUAAUUUUGAUAUACAUUUUAAGGCAAGUAUAUAUGAUAUGAUGAAUUUAAUUGCCUUUGUGUUAAGAUCAUGCAAUGAAUAAUAAUCCAUGUGUGUGUUAUGGAUGAAGAUGAUGUUAACAUAUAUGCAGUAUAUGGAUUAAAGAUAUUAUGAUGUUAUAAUCCAUAAAAUAUUUUAGUGAAUGAAUGAUAUGUAUGCAUAAAACAUGAUUCGCUAAUGACUUUAAGAAGAUUUAAGCACUUAAAGUUUAAAGUAGUAUAUGGAUUAAAGAUAUUAUGAUGUUAUAAUCCAUAGAAUAUUUUAGUGAAUGAAUGAUAUGUAUGCAUAAAACAUGAUUCGCUAAUGACUUUAAGAAGAUUUAAGCACUUAAAGUUUAAAAUCUAUGUUUUAGUGGCUAAUAUGUAAUCAUGUAAAUAUCCACUAAGUUUUAAAGAUUUGAAAACUUUCAUUUCAGUCCUUAAAGUCUUAAUAAAACUUCACUCAAAGAAUUUCAUUUAAGCCAUUUGAAGUUAUUAUAAAUACGUAGAUUAAUACUUAAAAAAUUUCAUUUUAGACCUUGGAAUUAUUAAAUAUUUCUAGGCAUUUUUCGAUUAAAAACUUCAUGUAGAUAUUUAUUCUAAGUUCUUGAAGUUUUAAAUACCAAUUUAUUUGAAAAAUAUCGCUUAACUCCUCAAGUUUAGUGAAUUUUUCAUGUAUUACUUCAUAAAAUUUUUCAUUUUAUCCCUUGAAGUUGUAAUACUUAACCAUGCAUGCAGUCUUUAGAUGUUUUAAAUUUAUGUGAACUUAGUUCUAUCCUUACAUGCAUACCCUUAUAUGAAGAUAAAAGAUUUUAAAUAAAACAUUAAUCUUCAUAUUGAUGAUAAGGGAAAUACAAAGUUAAUCUCAUACACAAUGAGAUUUAAGAUCAUUAAAGGAUUUUCAAGAUGGCAUAGAUAGAACAUUAACAUAAGAUACGAUGAUACCAAAACAUCAAGGUACGCGAUGAGACAAAAACCUAGGCAACAAAAUAUUAACACUAUGGUUAAUCAGUGAUGGUGCUGGCUUCUUUAGUGGGAGCUUCUAAUAGAUCAAUUUGAUGUUGCAUGUCGGCGAUCAGAUCUCUUUGGUUUUUAAUACUUGACUCAAGCAAUUUAAUCCUUGAUUUUGCCUCAUCGAUCUCCUUAAGCCAGUGAGUAGUUGUCUCAUCUUUGGUUGUGGAUUGACUCUCCUGCUUCUUCCCUUUGUCUUUUAUAAGAUCCAUCACCUUUUUCCAAUCUGGAUCAUAAGAACCCAUUUUGAAAUGGAAGAGGUAGGAAUGGGUGAGUUUCGGUUUUGGUUUUUUGAGGAUCUUUAUGAGUAUGAGAAGUGUGAUUUAACUCACUGGUUUCUUGAUUUAAAUAAGCCUUGGGGAGUGACCUUUGAGCUUGUCGUGUAAGCUUGGGAGAAGUAAUUUUCAGUUUGACUGAUAUUGCUUGUUAAGUUUAACAAAUGAUAAUGAAGAUAUUUUGAAAAUAUCAUCUAAGCAUAGGGUUUUGUCUAAUUCUUGAAGAGAUCUUAUGAUGAUGAUCUAUGAUAUCAGCUAAGUGUAGAGUUUUUAAUAUCGAGUAUAACCCUAGAUGAAAUCUCAUGAUGAUGAUCUAAGAUAUCAGCUACUUAUAGAGUUUUUAAAGAGAUUCUGGCUGAUGUCUUGCUUAACAGGAGAUUUCUGAUCUUCUCCUGAGCUAAAAGAUCAUAAUUACCAAGCUGAGUUGAUUAGCUUGAUUUGAUAUGAAGCAUAGGGCAGAUCAUAAUUAAUCUGAUUUUCUACUAUUUAGGUAUACAACAGUUGAUAUAAAAGAUAUUUAAUCAUACCUUUUGAUCAUUCCAAGUCGCAUUUCUGCAGCGGAUAGAUUUGGUGCAGAUUGUCGCGAUUCUUUUUGAGUAGCUGCAACAAGGAUUCGGCUGUUGCAGGCGAUGCUCAAGUGAGUUGACACUCGUGCAGGUGUUACUGUGAUGCAGAAUGUCGCGAUCUUCCGAUUGUAGCGUGGAUUGUGAAGAUAUUCAUCGAGUUUUGGCUCACGCGAUUGUAGAAGAUUUAAUUGCGUACAGUGUGCCGUGAGUCGAAUUCAUAGCGUUUUAAAGUCUUACCAAGACAUGUGUGUGCAAUAGUAUAUCAUGUAGUUUAUGUUUGAUUGCACAUAUUUUAACGUAAUUGGUAAAUAAGUCAUAGAUCAAUUCAUGUAUGACUUUAGUAAUUAAAGCAUAAUCACAUAUCAUGUGGUUAAUUGAUUAGCAUAAUUUUAAUUUAAGUAAGCAUGAUGUGUGUGCUGUAUGUCAAUAUAUAUGUCAUAGAUAAUCUUUAAUUUUCAUACAUAAUUUAACUCAUAGUAAUAUAAGCAUAUCCAUGUAAGUAGCAUACAAUGUAUUAAUAGUUUUCGAUUGUAAGUAUGCAUGUAAUUUAUAGUAAUAUGGCAUAUACGAGAGUCAUGCAUUUAAGUUAAGCUCUUCAUUUUAUCAUGCAUGUGUUUAUAUGUUAUAGUCUCAAAUCAUGCGUAAGAUCAUGUGUAUGCAAGUUUGAAUUUUAAUAAGCAUGAGUAGAUUCAUUUAUCUUUUAUGCAUGUAUUAAAGUAUCAUGCAUUUGAUGAAUUACAUUAACAUCUAUAUACUUAGUCAUGUUAGUCUUAGAUUUUAAUUUGUAAAUUCAUGCGUACGUAUAUUCAUUUUAAUGUGAUCUUAGUUUGAAUCAUGAUCAAGGUUAUAAGCGUAAAGAUAUUCAAGUAAAGAAUAUUAAGACUAAAGCAUAAGAUGCAUUAACUUAUGACCAAUUAAAUAUUUAUCAAAUUUCACUAAGCUCACAUAUACCCAUAGAUCAUCUGAUUUUCGAAUGAACUUCCUGAUCUAGGGGUUUAGUAAAGAUGUCAGCCAUUUCAUCUUCAGUAGAAAUAUAUUCUAGGCAGAUAUUUUUCUUUUCUACAUGAUCUCUAAGGAAAUAAUGUCUGACAUCAAUGUGUAUAGGUCUUGAAUGUAACACAGAGUUUUUUGAUAAACAAAUUGCACUCUUGUUAUCACAUUUAAAAGCUAUUGUUUCUAAAGCUACAUCGUACUCGGAUAAUGUUUGUUUCAUCCACAACAUUUGAGCGCAUGCAUUAGAUGCUGUCAUAUAUUCUGCUUCAACUAUGGAUAAAGCAAUACUAUUUUGCUUUUUACAUGACCAUGCUACCAGUGAGCUUCCCAACAGAAAGCAUGUUCUACUAGUGCUUUUUCUGUCAGUCUUACAUCCACCAAAGUCAGCAUCACAGUAUGCUGUCAGUGUGAAUGAGUUGUCCUUAGGGUAGAAUAAUCCAACUGUAACUAUUCCUUUGAUAUUCCUGAUUAUUCUUUUAACCGCUUUGAGAUGUGACUCUUUUGGGUCUGAUUGAAAUCUGGCACAUAAGCAGACUGCAAACAUGAUGUUUGGUCUGCUUGCUGUUAAGUAUAGCAGUGAUCCAAUCAUUCCUCUGUAUUUCUUAGUGACUAUUGAUUAACCUUCAACAUCUUUAUCCAAUUUAAGCGUUGAACUCAUAGGAGUUGGCAUAGGAUUUUGAUUCAGUCAAGUCAAAUUUCUUUAUCAAUUCCUUAGCAUAUUUGACUUGGCUUAGAAAUAUUCCAUUCUCCUUCUGUUUGACUUGUAGACCUAACAAAAAAGUCAACUUUCCCAUCAUACUCAUUUCAAAUUAAUCUUCCAUUUGUUUGGAGAAUUUCUUACACAGAGUAGCAUCGGUUGAUCCAAAUAUAAUGUCAUCAACAUAGAUUUGGAUUGGAAUAAUGUCUCUUUUGACAUUUUUAAUGAAAAAUGUGUUAUCUAUACUCCCCAUUCUAAAUUCCUGAGAAAUGAGAACGUUUCUUAGUCUUUCAUACCAAGCUCGGGGUGCUUGUUUCAGAUCAUAGAGGGCUUUCUUAAGUUUAAGAACAUGAUCAGGGUUUUGGUAAUCUUCGAAUCCGGGGGGUUGUCUGACAUAUACUUGUUCAUUUACUAUUCCAUUCAAGAAUGCACUCUUUACAUCCAUUUGAUAUAAUCUGAAAUCCUUGUAGCACGCAAAGGAUAGGAGCAUUCUGAUGGAUUCUAGUCUAGCUAUUGGUGCAAAGGUUUCAUCAUAAUCUAUUCCUUCUUGUUGAUUGUAUCUUUGAGCAACCAGUCUAGCUUUGUUUCUGACUGUAGUUCCAUCAUCAUCCAGCUUGUUUCCGAAUACCCAUCUUGUUCCAAUGAUUGAUGUAUCUUUUGGCUUUGAAACUAGUUCCCAUAGAUCAUUUCUCUCAAAUUGGUUGAGUUCUUCUUGUAUAGCUUGAAUCCAGUAGUUAUCGUCGAGGGCUUCAUCAACUUUCUUGGGCUCAAUUUGAGAGACAAAACAGUCAAGAACACUGUUUCUUUGAAUGGAUGAUCUGGUUCUAACACCAGCUUGAUGGUCACCAAUCAUUUGAUCAGUGGAGUGUGGGUUUCUGAGUAACCUGUUGGAUGGAGGCUCAGAGACUUCGAUUUCGUCAUUGGUAGUUUCUUCAGUUGGAAUGAUGAUUUCUGGCUCUGGAACUAUUUCGUCUUCUUCUAUAAUGGUUGUCUGAGUGGAUUCAUCAAAGUCAUCGUGUAAUGAUUCGAUCAUUAUUUGUUUUUCUUUGAGAAUAAUUUUGUACGCUUUGCUCCUUCUAGAGUAUCCUACCAGAAUACCUUCAUCAGACUUCUUAGCAAAUUUGUCUUGGUUGCCUCUUGUUCGGAGAACGUAACAUUUGCAUCCAAAGACCUUGAUAUAUGAGACUUUUGAUUUUCUUCCAUUCCAUAUCUCAUAUGGAGUUUUGUUCAAGGUUUUUCUUAUAAUCACCUUGUUUAGUAUAUAACAGGAUGUGUUAACAGCUUCUGCCCAGAGAUACUGUGGUGAAUCAUGUUCUUGUAACAUAAAUCUACUCAUCUCUUAUAGAGUUCUAUUUUUCCUUUCAACAACUCCAUUCUGAGGGGGUGCUUGGGGAAAAGAAAAUUCAUAUUUUAUUCCAUGAGUUUUGCAAAAAAUUUCAAACUCAGAGUUCUCGAAUUCUCCUCCAUGAUCACUUCUGAUUCUUUUUAUGGCGACAUCCUUCUCAUUUUGUACAUGUGUACAAAAUGAUGAGAACUCGUUGAAUGAGUCACUCUUAUUUCGUAAGAAGAAUACCCAAGUAAACCUUGAGUAAUCAUCUAGUAUUACAUAUGUGAACCUUUUUCCGCCAAGACUUUGAGUUUGGGUUGGCCCAAAUAAGUCGAUGUGUAGAAGUUACAAAGGUCUGGACGUAGUAAUAUCUGUAAGGGAUUUGAAUGAGCUUUUAUGCCGUUUCCCUUUUUGACAAGCAUCACAGAGAUUUCUUUUCUCAUAUGCUAUUUUAGGUAGUUCAGUCACCAGUUCUUCUUUUGAUAGUUUGGAUAAUCGAGAGUAACUGGUGUGACCUAACCUUCUAUGCCAUAAGGUCUUUUCAUCAUUUGCUACAAUCAUGUAGAAGUCAUGAGUUGGCUUGGAGGGACUAAAGGUUAUGGAAUAAGCAUUGUUUUUCCUAUAUCCUUUAGCAAUUAUAACUCCUUUGGAGUUAAUGAUUGAGUAUAGAUAUUUUUCAAAUUUAACUAUGCAAUAAUUAUCACAUAAUUAGCUUAUGCUGAUAAGAUUGUCUUUAAGGCCAUUAACUAAGUAGACAUCUCUAAGAAAAGGUGUAUCUAUAUUACCUAUAUUACCUAUACCUAUAAUGGUACCUUCGUUGUUGUCAGCGAACUUGACCUUCUUAGUAGUAGGCCAGUCGGUCAAAUCUGUCAGCAGACUUGAAUCGCCAAUCAUGUGCCUUGUGCAUCUACUGUCGAACAACCAUUUUGACACCUGUUUUUCCUGAAAUAGUUGAAGAAUCUUUUGGUACCCAUACUGUGUUGGGUCCAGAUGAAUUAACAUAGUUGAUUUGCUUAUAAUUUUUUAACUCAUCCUUGGUCAUCCAUUUUUGUUUUGGAUGAUUGAUUCAUCUUAGCUAUAUUUUUCUUUUUCUUAAGAUGAAUAGGUUUUUUGUAGCUAGAUUCUCUCACAAAAUAAUUAUUAUAAGUUAAAGCAUGUGGAGGUUUUUUGAUAGGUGCAUCUGAUUAAAACCCUAAGCCAAAUUUCUUUUGACCUGAGCUUGAACCUUGCAACAUGUCAUCUAGCUUGGUUGAUCUAUUUAAGAAUUUUUCAAUAACAUUAUUCUUUUGAUCUAUUCUUUUGAUUUGUAAUUGUAUGUUAUUAUAUUUUUCAGAUAAUUUUUGUAUAGUUUCUAUAUGCUCAAGUAUGAUUUUAUCCUUAGAUUCUAUAUCUGUUUUGAGCAUGAUUGAUUCUUUUUUUUUUAACAUAAUAUCUUCUUCAAAAUUAUCUAUUUUUAAUUCUAGCAAUUCAAUCUUAUCUUCAUCUAUUUCCUUAGGUUGAUUCUCUUCAGAUUCUAAAAUAUUAAGCAAUUCAAAGUUUUGACUCUUAAGUAUCUUAAUUUUUUCUUUAUCUUUGUUUAAUUUACUUGUGAGUUUUAGAUUUCUUUCUUUCAAUUGCAUGUAUUCUUUUUGUGAUUCUUCUAAUUUAAUAGAUUGAUCUAUGUGUGAUUUAUUCAUGCAUUCUAGUUUUAAUGACUUAGUUAAUUUUUUCUCUUUUUUAUAUUUUUCCAUUAACUCUAGAUAUGCUUCUUCUAAAGAAUUAAAUCUAGUAUUUAGAAAACUUACCUCAGAGUCGCUUUCAUGAGCCAUGAGGCAGUCUUCUUGAUCCGAGUCAGAGUCUGUCCAUUGUGCAUGAUUUUCUUUAUCUCUCUUUAGCAAAGGACAUUCUGGUUUGAUGUGUCCAGGCUUGUAGCAUAUAUGACAGAUUCGUUCUUUUGACUCCUUGCUCAUUUUUCUGUCGAACUUCUGAUGACUUGACCUUGAGUCUUUCUUCUCUUUCCUCUUUUUUAGAUAUCUUCUCAGAUGAUUAGUGAUCAUUGCUAGAUCAUCCUCUGAUGUUUCAUUGUCAGAUUGACUUUUAAGAGCAAUAUCCUUUUUCUCUUCUUUAGCUCUAGAGAUGAAUCUUUCUUUUUCAUAAGCCAUCAGAUUUCCACAGAGUUCCACGACUGUAAGUUUGUUGAGAUCAUGAGCCUCUUGGAUAGCAUUCCUUUUGGAGUAGUACUUGUUUGGAAGGCUCCUCAGAAUUUUGCUUACUUACUUUUUCUCAGUUACUGGAUCCCCUAGUCCAGCCAGAUCAUUGACUAUUUGUGAUAGUCUAAUGUUCAUUUCUGCGAUAGUCUCGUCUUCCCUCAUAGAGAAUCUUUCAAACUGAGAGGUAGCAUGUAACAACUUGUUUUCUUUAACAUGGGAGGUUCCUUCAUGCAGAUCCUCCAAUGCUUUCCAUACCUUGUGAGUUGUAUCUAAGCAUUGAAUUCUACUAUACUAAGAUUCAUUGAGUGCCCCGUAUAGAGCAUUCAAUGCUCUUGAGUUGUUGUUUUCCUUGAGGAUAUCCAUUUCUCCCAAAGUCUCUUCUUUGCUUGUUGGAAUUUCAUAGUCUUCCAAUGUGAUCUUCCAGACUCCAUUGUUGAUUGACUUCAAGUAUAACUUCAUCUUGUUUUUCCAGAAGUCAUACUUUACUUCAUCGAACCUAGGGGUUUGUUCGAUGCAAGACCAGUACUGUAUUCACCAUUUGGUUCCAUAGUUGUUGUUGUGAGAUGUUAGUCUGACUUCAACGCAACUUGGCUCUGAUACCACUUGUUUGAUCGAGAUUCGAGGCUAUAAGGGGGGAUAAUAGCCUCUUUUUCGAUUAGGCAGGUUAAAUACGGAAUUACCUGCAAAUACUUGAUACACAAAUGGUUGAAUAACAAUAAAAAGAUUAUAAUAUUAUAUAUAUUUAUAUUCAUGCCUUUUCUCUUCAAAGCUUACUACAGUAUAUGAAUACUGAGUCAGCUUAUUAGAUAGUGCUUUAUAAACAACUGUAGUAUAUAGAUACUGAUGGGGGUGAAACCCGACCAGUACUCCAAGACGCGCAAGCAAGCGCCAUGCGGGGAACUCCGCGGGAAACCGGACCGGAACUCAAGUGUGCAGAGCUCUGCUUCGCUAGGAAUCCUUUCGCUCCAAAAAUCCUGCCUUUAAUGAGUGGGGGGUGCCCUCUAUUUAUAGGGGUUCUUAUGGGGGCAAUCUGGUCAUUUGGGCAGUAACCGCCUAACUGCCCAACUGAUCAGAUUGGGUCCAGGGGUCGACUUUCCAGAGAUCGACUUUCUGGGGGUCGACUUUUCCUGGUGAUCGACUUUACUCAAAAGUCGAUCCCAGGGAAGUCGAUCCUCAGGAAAGUCGAUCUUCCUAGGAUUCGACCUGGGACCUCCACAACCCUAGAAUAGAUACCUCAACUCAUCUUAGGCUAUCCGGACUUCUAGUUGCUGGUAGGUUGUGACCGUGUUCGGGAUACUGUAUCACCAGUACUCCCCCCUCCUCUGCGUAUUAGAUACUUUGGGAUACGUCUUUUAGUACUAUGGUGUGUGUGUCGGACCCUGUACUAUCAGUCUUCCCCCCCUCUUUGCGUGCUGGGAUGUGGAUUUCUGGUGAUGUCCCUGGAUGUAAGAUCCUCUCUCACCAGUACUCCCCCCCUUCCACGCCUGCGAGGUUGUAUCUAUGCUUCCACGGAGGUUGUCACGUGCUUUUGCCAACUAUUGUCCGGUUUGUCC
rnacentral:lncRNA from 1 species